rnacentral:rRNA from 1 species
ACGGAAGGCAGCAGUGAGGAAUAUUGGUCAAUGGGCGGAAGCCUGAACCAGCCAAGUAGCGUGCAGGAUGACGGCCCUAUGGGUUGUAAACUGCUUUUAUACGGGAAUAAAGUGCGGCACGUGUGCCGCUUUGCAUGUACCGUAAGAAUAAGCAUCGGCUAAUUCCGUGCCAGCAGCCGCGGUAAUACGGAAGAUGCGAGCGUUAUCCGGAUUUAUUGGGUUUAAAGGGAGCGUAGGCGGAAGAUUAAGUCAGCCGUGAAAUCCCGUCGCUUAACGACGGAACUGCGGUUGAUACUGGUUUUCUUGAGUGCACAUAAGGAAGGUGGAAUUUGUGGUGUAGCGGUGAAAUGCUUAGAUAUCACGAAGAACUCCGAUUGCGAAGGCAGCCUUCUGGGGUGCAACUGACGCUGAGGCUCGAAAGUGCGGGUAUCAAACAGGAUUAGAUACCCUGGUA